CCUGAGAAACCCAAAAGAUCGAAUGGGGAGAUUCAUCGUCAGCACAUUUUGUAUAUAUAUAAGUUAUGAUGCGGGUUACUACUUGUAGUAUUGCCUGCACAUUCUUGUAUAUUUAGUUGCAAGAUGUUGUCGGCGUGCACUUCUCCUCUAGUAGGACGUCGCGACCCGUUGGGUGUCGGUUUACGGCCCAAGUGAUGGCCUUUAAUGUAAUUAAAAAAACAUUGAAGAUCCUUGGUGUUUUCUAACCGGCUACUCGGCGGUAUUCGUACGGUAUUUAGCCGCUGAUUUUAUUAGCGUUUAUGUCCGUCACAAGCGAGGCCAAUUUUUACUGAUAGUACGGACCUAGUGCCGUCGUUGGUAUUGGCCAGCUGUUGGUUGUACGGUAUUCUAAAACUGGCUAAAAUUAAUUACCGGUCGGCGAUGCUACUGCUUUGGGUACUUUCAGG
rnacentral:rRNA from 1 species